UGGAGCCGAGGAUGAAUUAAAGUUAUCCCUGUCUGAGGUGACAUGUCUUGUGAAGAGUCGUGGUUUACUGAGGCUCAA
rnacentral:snoRNA from 1 species